rnacentral:rRNA from 1 species
AAGCUUUUAACUGAUCCUUCGGGUGACGUUAAAAGUGGAGAGCGGCGGACGGGUGAGUAACGCGUGGGAAACCUACCUUAUACUGGAGAAUAGCCUCGGGAAACCGGGAUUAAUACUCCAUGAUAUCUUAAUGUCACAUGACACAUAGGUCAAAAUUCAGGUGGUAUAAGAUGGUCCCGCGUCCCAUUAGCUAGUUGGUGAGAUAAAAGCUUACCAAGGCGACGAUGGGUAGCCGGCCUUAGCGGGUGAACGGCCACACUGGAACUGAGACACGGUCCAGACUCCUACGGGAGGCAGCAGUGGGGAAUAUUGCACAAUGGAGGAAACUCUGAUGCAGCGACGCCGCGUGAGUGGAUCGUAAAGCUCUGUCCUUGGGGAAGAUAAUGACGGUACCCAAGGAGGAAGUCCCGGCUAACUACGUGCCAGCAGCCGCGGUAAUACGUAGGGGACGAGCGUUAUCCGGAUUUAUUGGGCGUAAAGGGUAUGCAGGCGGCCAAAUAAGUCAGGUGUUAAAGGCAACGGCUCAACCGUUGAAUGCAUCUGAAACUGUUUGGCUUGAGUACGGGAGAGGAAAGUGGAAUUCCUAGUGUAGCGGUGAAAUGCGUAGAUAUUAGGAGGAACACCAGUGGCGAAGGCGACUUUCUGGACCGAUACUGACGCUGAGAUACGAAAGUGUGGGGAGCAAACAGGAUUAGAUACCCUGGUAGUCCACACUGUAAACGAUGAGUGCUAGGUGUUGGGGGUCGAACCUCAGUGCCGGCGUUAACGCAUUAAGCACUCCGCCUGGGGAGUACGACCGCAAGGUUGAAACUCAAAGGAAUUGACGGGGACCCGCACAAACAGCGGAGCAUGUGGUUUAAUUCGAAGCAACGCGAAGAACCUUACCAACAUUUGACAUCCCUCUGAUUGGAUUAGAGAUAAUCCUUCUCUUCGGAGCAGAGGUGACAGGUGGUGCAUGGUUGUCGUCAGCUCGUGUCGUGAGAUGUUGGGUUAAGUCCCGCAACGAGCGCAACCCCUAUUUUUAGUUGCCAUCAUUAAGUUGGGCACUCUAGAGAGACUGCCGGUGAUAAACCGGAGGAAGGUGGGGA